ensembl:snRNA U2 U2 spliceosomal RNA
GAUGCUUCUUGGCCUGUUGGCUAAGAUGUAGCAUCUGCUUUUAUCAGUUUAAUAUCUGAUACAUUCCCUAUAUGAGGCCUGGUAUUGCAUUGCCUCCAGGAGCAGCGCACCUCCC